rnacentral:rRNA from 1 species
CGCGGCCUAUCAGCUUGUUGGUGAGGUAACGGCUCACCAAGGCGACGACGGGUAGCCGGCCUGAGAGGGUGACCGGCCACACUGGGACUGAGACACGGCCCAGACUCCUACGGGAGGCAGCAGUAGGGAAUCUUGCGCAAUGGGCGAAAGCCUGACGCAGCAACGCCGCGUGGGGGAUGAAUGCCUUCGGGUUGUAAACCCCUUUCAGCAGGGACGAAAAUGACGGUACCUGCAGAAGAAGCUCCGGCCAACUACGUGCCAGCAGCCGCGGUAAUACGUAGGGAGCGAGCGUUGUCCGGAAUUAUUGGGCGUAAAGAGCUCGUAGGCGGUUCAGUAAGUCGGGUGUGAAAACUCAAGGCUCAACCUUGAGACGCCACUCGAUACUGCUGUGACUUGAGUCCGGUAGAGGAGUGUGGAAUUCCUGGUGUAGCGGUGAAAUGCGCAGAUAUCAGGAGGAACACCAGCGGCGAAGGCGGCACUCUGGGCCGGUACUGACGCUGAGGAGCGAAAGCAUGGGGAGCAAACAGGAUUAGAUACCCUGGUAGUCCAUGCCGUAAACGUUGGGCACUAGGUAUGGGAUCAUAUCAACGGAUUCCGUGCCGUAGCUAACGCAUUAAGUGCCCCGCCUGGGGAGUACGG